CUCUGAGGUGGCAGCCCGAAGCAGUGAUGGAGCACCUGGUGAGGGGUGCAGCCCUGCAAGCACAGGUGGAAGCGGUGCACGUGUGGGACCAGGUGGGGCUGAGCCUGGCUCCACCCCUCCCUCCCCUCAUUUAAGGGCUGGCAGCCCCAGAGGCCAGGUUUCCUCCUGGAGAUGCCUCCUGUGGAUUGCUGGGUGAGCUCUGGCUCUUGGAAAGAGUUGUUCUCUGAGGGGAGCGAAGGGGUUAUCAGCCUUUUUCUGAAGCGGUCAUGGAGGGACUGAUGCUCGUUCCUUUCUUUUGCUCCCAUCUGUUUCUGGAACGCUUCCGUCAGCCCCAAGGUUUCCUUUGCUGCUCUUGUUCAGCUCAGUGCCUUCCCGUGAAGUCUCUGUUCCCUCUUUCAUGGUUCUCGUUGUGGAAUCUCCACCCUGGGACUCCAAACUGGGUUUGUCUGCUACCACGUUGUCCCGGCCCGUUUUAUGACACGUCCCCUCUGUGUCCUCGCGUCCCGCUCGUGUCUUUGUGUCCUCCCUGCGUCCUCUGCCCACGUCCCCUCUGUGUCCCCUGUGCCACGCAUUCAUUCCACCCCUGCUGAGUUUGGUUGUUUAAGGGCACGUGUUUCCAUGACGUUCCGCGUCUCUUUGGCUCUCGUUGUGUUUUGCAGACAGACGGAAGGCUUUCUGGGGCUGCUCUGGUGUGUGCCUCCCUCCAUUUCAAACUCUUUCCCCUGGUCCCCUGCUGUCAAAGAUGUUUUCCUUCCAUCUAACCCAAGUUUUCCCUCCUUCUUUCCUCCAGCUUCCCUUUAGGUAUGGAAAGGCUGUUAGCAGCUCACCUGGGAGCCUUGGCUCCUCCGCGCUGAACAGCCCCAGCUCUCAGCCUGGCCUUGGAGGAGAGCUGUUGGAUCCUUGGCUUCUUGGUGUUUUGGGGCCGGCCUCUGGAUGUGCUCCAACGGCUCCGUGUCUCUUCUGCCCUCAGGACUCUUCCUAUGGACGCAGCGCUCCAGGUGAGGCCUCUUCAGCACGGGGCAUUCCCUCCCAUUUCUCGCCCCAUUCCCGCCUUUUGGCUCCCGCCUUUUGGCUCCCGCCUUUUGGCUCCCGCCUUUUGGCUCCCG